GUGUACAGUUUUGUCCGGUUUUGUUUCAAAAGAUUAAAACUUUAUGAUCGUUGACCUUAACCUUAUUGAUGAAAACCGUUGAAGCUGGUUGAUCAAUUGUCCGGAUUAAUUUAUAUGUUUUAUUGAUACACACGAACAACUUCAACUUUAGUUAAAAAUUACAUGUGCAGCCUUUUGUUUGCAGUAUGCAAUGGUUACCUCCCUUACUUCAGUUUUGAAAAUGUCCCAAGUAACUCGAGGAUCAUUAUUUUUGGUUGAUGUGUCUGUUGCAUAGAACAUGUAGAAGCGAUUUUGUAUUUUGCGCAAAUUUACUUUUUGGAUUUUCAUGAUACACAAAUAGGAGUAUUUUUCUCACAGCGUUAUGAAGACUGUGAUUUUGGAUAUAAAGUAGAAGCAUAAUAAUAUGACAACUGAACCAUGAUGACUGGAUUUUCCUGUUCUCUUUGCUCAACAAUUUUAUUUUGAUAUUGAAUAUCCUAUGAAUAUUGAGAAGGAAGUGUACAAGAAAAUUAAAUAUUUGUGCAGUGUAUAAUGUACAUUUGAUUGGAUUUAACAAGCAUAAAAGUAUUGGAUUUAUGAUAAUAUUUGGAUUAUGUCUGUGUGAAAAUGUGAUUCUAGAAUUUUCCUGAUCUAAUCUGAGUGUCUUAGCAUGAGGAACUGCUGAUGUACAUGUACAUGUAUCAUAACUCUUUUUAUGCAUAAUGUUUUUUUUUGCGGAUAACGUUUACAAAACAUUUGUUAGUUGUGAUCCAGCUUUUAUUAUGACAUUUAGUUGAUAGAUAUAUAGAAAUUUGUUUGCCGUUAAAUAGAUUGUAAAUUUUUAAAAGAUGAGUGCUUUUCAACAU